GACGAACGCUGGCGGCGUGCCUAAUACAUGCAAGUUGAGCGCUGAAGGUUGGUACUUGUACCGACUGGAUGAGCAGCGAACGGGUGAGUAACGCGUGGGGAAUCUGCCUUUGAGCGGGGGACAACAUUUGGAAACGAAUGCUAAUACCGCAUAAAAACUUUAAACACAAGUUUUAAGUUUGAAAGAUGCAAUUGCAUCACUCAAAGAUGAUCCCGCGUUGUAUUAGCUAGUUGGUGAGGUAAAGGCUCACCAAGGCGAUGAUACAUAGCCGACCUGAGAGGGUGAGCGGCCACAGUGGGACUGAGACACGGCCCAAACUCCUACGGGAGGCAGCAGUAGGGAAUCUUCGGCAAUGGACGAAAGUCUGACCGAGCAACGCCGCGGGAGUGAAGAAGGUUUUCGGAUCGUAAAACUCGGUUGGUAGAGAAGAACGUUGGUGAGAGUGGAAAGCUCAUCAAGUGACGGUAACUACCCAGAAAGGGACGGCUAACUACGUG
rnacentral:rRNA from 1 species